rnacentral:ncRNA from 1 species
CGCCUUUCAAGGUAACUUGUCUGGAGACAGGGCAGAAGUCAGCAUAUGCCAUAGUCGCCAAACGUCGGGAGUAAUGCCCUGGACAUGGUGAAGGGC